rnacentral:pre_miRNA from 1 species
UACAUAUUUCCUCCGUCCCGAAUUACUUGUCGCAGAAAUGAAUAAAAAUAAAUGUAUUUAGAACUAAAAUACAUGUAGGUGCAUUUAUUUCUGAAACAAGUAAUUCUGGACGAGGGGAGUGCAAA